CUCCUGUAAAGUAUCUGUUUUUUUACUUAAAUCAUAUCUUUGAAAAACCGUCCAAUUUUAACUUCAAAAAAACGGUAAGCGCAUUUCACAAUUCAUUUUAACACAAUAAAUAGGUAAUUCGACGGACUUUUCUAACAAACAAUAACGCCAACAUCGUGCGUAAACGGUUGUAUGUAUAUUGUAUGUAUUGUUUUUAUGUCUAUAAUUUGAAUAAUAAUAAUAAUAAUAAUAAUAAUAAUAAUAAUAUUUACAAUAAUAUAAUAUUAUUAUGGUGCGCGAGUGAAGAACAUAUAAAAUAUAAAUAUAUAUAGUUUUUUUUUUCGGGCGUAAAACGGUGGGCGGACGUAUAAUAAUUUAUUAAUUAUCGUGUUUAUUAUAGAAUAACAAUUUAAUAAUUUAAUGAAUUAAUAGUGUGUACACGAUAAUAUAAUAAUAAAUAAAUAAAUAAAUAAAUAAAUAAAUAAAUAAUAAUAAAAAAACGUACUUAGUGACUAGUAGUCGAGCGUUAACCGCACAAUUUUGUAUUUUCGGUUAAUCGAAAUGUACGUAAAAAAAAAAAAAAAAAAAUUACAGACAGAUAUUAUACUAUUAUAUUAUAUAUAUCGAUAUACCGGCGACGUAAGUCUGCAGUGCACGCACGCGUUCGGAGGAGAGGGGAUAUUCGACCGGUACCAAUAAACUUGAUUCAUUCAAUAUCGUGUAAAUGAAUAGUAAAAUGAUUUUCCGCGAAGGGAAAGGUAUAGUAUGUAAGAUUUUAGUCGACUCUCGAUAAUUGACCAUUAUCCAAAAUUUAAUGGGACAGAAAACAACUUUGAUAAGUUGAGAGUUCAAAUCGCUCAGAGAGGUUAGAACUAUCGAGAUAGUGAAAAAAAAAAAAAUCGAAUUGCCGAGAGUUAAGGCAAAUGUACUUCUUCUUCUUAUAUGGUAUUUAAUACCACCAAAAAGUUUUUGCCGCCAUAGCACCAUUCCUCAAUUUCACUCUAUUCCGAACUACUAUUCUCUACCCAUACAUACUUUCAUUCUAUUGACGUCUACUUUGACAAUAUCCAUCCAUCCAUUUUUUCUUGGGCUGACCCCGAGUUAUAUUUCUCAAUGAUUUCCAAGUUAGAACUACUCUGCAUGUAUCAUCCUUAUUUCUUUACAUCUUACUCAAACCAUCGGAUCCUUUGUCCUCGAAUGAACCUUAUAGUGGCUUAAUGGUCAUAUCCAUUCUUUUUUGUAGAUAAAUACAAUUGUAAAUGGCACUUAAGCGAUCCCAAAAUAAGAUAAAAUUAAACUUUGCAAAUUGGGUUGUUGUUUUGUCGAUAAGAGCCGAACGCGCAGUCGUGGUGAAACGACUUCGGAUACUAUACCGCGAGUACGAACAUUUCGAUGAUAACCGCGAGAUUUUUAAACAUAUAUAUUACUUUGAAUUACACCGAUGGUUUCGAAUAUAUUAUCGAGAGUCGACUACAUUAUAAUAUAAUCAUAUUGUCGUGCGUGUACGGUACUAAAGGUACGACUAUAAAAAAUAUUAGGAAUGUCUGGUUAAAUAGGUGUAAGUAUUAAAGUAGUUGUUCGAUCGGUUUAACAUGCACAAGUCUGCAGGUGGUUAAGAUUUCAGGAAUAAAAAAAUAAAAAUAACGCGAGUUAAAUAACGAGUUUAAUAAGUUAUUAAAUAAGAGUCGGUAUUGUUUGCUACGAAAUCGCAACGAAACGAAAGCGUCCGAAACGUCAUCAACGGCGGUAAAACUUUCUGAAAGACUAUCAUAUUGCCUAUAUGGAGACACUGUCUCUAAAUUAUCGUUAACGUUUUAUUUAUAAGAAAAAAGAUAAUGUUUGCUAUGUUAUAAUUCUUUAGUAUUAUAUAUUAUAUAAAUAAUAUAUAUUAAUUAUUAAUAAUUGAUUUCCCUUAUGUAUUUUCUCAUAUGUUUACUUUGUUUUUAUUUUUUUAUGCCUGUUGUUUUUCAUUUAUUUAUUUUUUUUUUUUUUAAUAUUAUCCGAUAUUUAAGUGUCUAAGUCUGUGAUUAACUAACUUUAAGGAAAAAAAAAAUGUGAACAAUUUUAAAACCCCCACACGAGCAUGCUCAGUGGGACCAAUCAUUCUUUGAAAUAAACGCUUAAUAAUAAUAAUAACAUUAUGAAUGGAUUAAUUAUUUAAGCAAUAUGGCCGUUAAUGUAGACAAGUAUCAUAUACAUAUGUAUAUGUAGUCAUAAUGAAACCAGCUCUAACUAGAGAUAUGACGAACUGUUCAAUCAAAAUCAUUCCAUGCCGAUUCUGCGCGGUCAUCAAAAUGAUGGUCUGUGGUGGGACAGAGCGGCCUUGUUACGAAAAAGAAAAAUUGUUCUUUUUGUAUUAGUUUUUUCGCAAAUAUUAUAAUUGUACAGUUUUACAAUUUUAAAAAUGUUCAUCCUAACCUAACCUUUUUAUUUUUUUAAUGUUCGAGUUCGAUAAAAUAUUUUAAAAGUUCGAUUAGGUUCGGUUCGACUUUAAAAAUCAGGGUUCGUAACAUCUUUAGCUCUAACGAAUGGAUGCGGUGUGAGGCUUGGGUGACAAUGAGCAUGGCGGAAAGGGAAUUGAGAACUUUCGAACCAAUAAUACUUGAUGUAGUCACAGGAAGUUAUCGAAAGAAUUAUCGAUAGAUAGCUACAGGAAUUGAUAGAGAUGCGACAGAUGGGAACUAGCUUUAUUUUAAGUUUGUCCUUAUACCGUCAGAUCAUAUGUUAUGCGUUGAUAAGAAAAUAAACUACCAAGAGCAGUUUUCGAAUGUGUGCCUCAAGGGAAUAGGUCAGGUAGCAGUACUAUAAAUAUAUCGAAAGACAACGAUAUAGAUUCGAGAGUG
rnacentral:lncRNA from 1 species